AUACAUACUCCUUCAUCAGAUGUAGAAUAAACAUACUCCUUCGUCGAGCGUAGAAUCUACAUACUCCUUCAUCAGGUGUAGAAUAAACAUACUCCUUCAUCAGGUGUAGAAUAAACAUAAUCCUUCAUCAGGUGUAGAAUAUACAUACUCCUUCAUCAGGUGUAGAAUAAACAUACUCCUUCAUCAGGUGUAGAAUAUACAUACUCCUUCAUCAGAUGUAGAAUAAACAUACUCCUUCGUUGGGCGUAGAAUAUACAUACUCCUUCAUUAGGUGUAGAAUAAACAUACUCCUUCAUCGGGUGUAGAAUAUACAUACUCCUUCAUCAGAUGUAGAAUAAACAUACUCCUUCAUCAGGUGUAGAAUAAACAUACUCCUUCAUCAGGUGUAGAAUAAACAUACUCCUUCAUCAGAUGUAGAAUAAACAUACUCCUUCGUCAGGUGUAGAAUAAACAUACUCCUUCAUCAGGUGUAGAAUAAACAUACUCCUUCAUCAGGUGUAGAAUAUACAUACUGAUUCAUCAGGUACAGUUUAUGCGUUCUCCUACUUCAUGUGUAGAAUAUACUUACACCCUGAUUAGGUGAAAAGUACAUCAAAACUUUCAUCAAGAGAAGCGUACACCUACUGCUUCAUCGGGUGAAGAAUGUAUAUGAUGUAUAUACUUAUGCCUACAUCAGGUGAAGAAUGUAUAUGAUGUAUAUACUUAUGCCUACAUCAGGUGAAGAAUGUAUAUGAUGUAUAUACUUACGCCUACAUCAGGUGAAGAAUGUAUAUGAUGUAUAUACUUACGCCUACAUCAGGUGAAGAAUGUAUAUGAUGUAUAUACUUACGCCUACAUCAGGUGAAGAAUGUAUAUGAUGUAUAUACUUAUGCCUACAUCAGGUGAAGAAUGUAUAUGAUGUAUAUACUUACGCCUACAUCAGGUGAAGAAUGUAUAUGAUGUAUAUACUUAUGCCUACAUCAGGUGAAGAAUGUAUAUGAUGUAUAUACUUACGCCUACAUCAGGUGAAGAAUGUAUAUGAUGUAUAUACUUAUGCCUACAUCAGGUGAAGAAUGUAUAUGAUGUAUAUACUUGAUGCUUAUGCCUACAUCAGGUGAAGAAUGUAUAUGAUGUAUAUAAUUACGCCUACAUCGGUUGAAGAAUGUAUAUGAUGUAUAUACUCACGCCUACAUCAGGUGAAGAAUGUAUAUGAUGUAUAUACUUACGCCUACAUCAGGUGAAGAAUGUAUAUGAUGUAUAUACUUACGCCUACAUCGGUUGAAGAAUGUAUAUGAUGUAUAUACUUAUGCCUACAUCAGGUGAAGAAUGUAUAUGAUGUAUAUACUUACGCCUACAUCAGGUGAAGAAUGUAUAUGAUGUAUAUACUUACGCCUACAUCAGGUGAAGAAUGUAUAUGAUGUAUAUACUUACGCCUACAUCAGGUGAAGAAUGUAUAUGAUGUAUAUACCUACGCCUACAUCAGGUGAAGAAUGUAUAUGAUGUAUAUACUUACGCCUACAUCGGGUGAAGAAUGUAUAUGAUGUAUAUACUUACGCCUACAUCGAGUGAAGAAUGUAUAUGAUGUAUAUACUUACGCCUACAACGGGUG